AGCGAACGCUGGCGGCAGGCUUAACACAUGCAAGUCGAACGCCCCGCAAGGGGAGUGGCAGACGGGUGAGUAACACGUGGGAACGUACCCUUUGGUUCGGAAUAACUUGGGGAAACUCAAGCUAAUACCGGAUAAGCCCUUAUGGGGAAAGGUUUACUGCCGAAGGAUCGGCCCGCGUCUGAUUAGCUAGUUGGUGAGGUAAUGGCUCACCAAGGCGACGAUCAGUAGCUGGUCUGAGAGGAUGAUCCGCCACACUGGGACUGAGACACGGCCCAGACUCCUACGGGAGGCAGCAGUGGGGAAUAUUGGACAAUGGGGGCAACACUGAUCCAGCCAUGCCGCGUGAGUGAUGAAGGCCUUAGGGUUGUAAAGCUCUUUUACCCGGGACGAUAAUGACUGUACCGGGAGAAUAAGCCCCGGCUAACUUCGUGCCAGCCGCCGCAGUAA
rnacentral:rRNA from 1 species